rnacentral:rRNA from 1 species
UACAGAGGUCUCAAGCGUUGUUCGGAUUCAUUGGGCGUAAAGGGUGCGUAGGCGGCGCUGCAAGUGCCUUGUGAAAUCCCAUCGCUUAACGAUGGAACUGCUCGGUAGACUGCAGUGCUUGAGGUUGGUAGGGGCUGCCGGAACUCUAGGUGGAGCGGUGAAAUGCGUAGAUAUCUAGAGGAACGCCCAAGGCGAAGGCAGGCAGCUGGGCCAAUUCUGACGCUGAGGCACGAAAGCGUGGGGAGCAAACGGG